UACGAAGGGGGCUAGCGUUGCUCGGAAUCACUGGGCGUAAAGCGCACGUAGGCGGAUUGUUAAGUCAGAGGUGAAAUCCUGGAGCUCAACUCCAGAACUGCCUUUGAUACUGAAAGUCUUGAGUAUGGGAGAGGUGAGUGGAAUUGCGAGUGUAGAGGUGAAAUUCGUAGAUAUUCGCAGGAACACCAGUGGCGAAGGCGGCUCACUGGACCACAACUGACGCUGAGGUGCGAAAGCGUGGGGAGCAAACAGG
rnacentral:rRNA from 1 species